rnacentral:ncRNA from 1 species
UUUUAUAAGAAUAUGAUGUUGGUUCAGAUUAAGCGCUAAAUAAGGACAUGACACAUGCGAAUCAUACGUUUAUUAUUGAUAAGAUAAUAAAUAUGUGGUGUAAACGUGAGUAAUUUUAUUAGGAAUUAAUGAACUAUAGAAUAAGCUAAAUACUUAAUAUAUUAUUAUAUAAAAAUAAUUUAUAUAAUAAAAAGGAUAUAUAUAUAAUAUAUAUUUAUCUAUAGUCAAGCCAAUAAUGGUUUAGGUAGUAGGUUUAUUAAGAGUUAAACCUAGCCAACGAUCCAUAAUCGAUAAUGAAAGUUAGAACGAUCACGUUGACUCUGAAAUAUAGUCAAUAUCUAUAAGAUACAGCAGUGAGGAAUAUUGGACAAUGAUCGAAAGAUUGAUCCAGUUACUUAUUAGGAUGAUAUAUAAAAAUAUUUUAUUUUAUUUAUAAAUAUUAAAUAUUUAUAAUAAUAAUAAUAAUAUAUAUAUAUAAAUUGAUUAAAAAUAAAAUCCAUAAAUAAUUAAAAUAAUGAUAUUAAUUACCAUAUAUAUUUUUAUAUGGAUAUAUAUAUUAAUAAUAAAAUUAAUUUAUUAUUAUUAAUAAUAUAUUUUAAUAGUCCUGACUAAUAUUUGUGCCAGCAGUCGCGGUAACACAAAGAGGGCGAGCGUUAAUCAUAAUGGUUUAAAGGAUCCGUAGAAUGAAUUAUAUAUUAUAAUUUAGAGUUAAUAAAAUAUAAUUAAAGAAUUAUAAUAGUAAAGAUGAAAUAAUAAUAAUAAUUAUAAGACUAAUAUAUGUGAAAAUAUUAAUUAAAUAUUAACUGACAUUGAGGGAUUAAAACUAGAGUAGCGAAACGGAUUCGAUACCCGUGUAGUUCUAGUAGUAAACUAUGAAUACAAUUAUUUAUAAUAUAUAUUAUAUAUAAAUAAUAAAUGAAAAUGAAAGUAUUCCACCUGAAGAGUACGUUAGCAAUAAUGAAACUCAAAACAAUAGACGGUUACAGACUUAAGCAGUGGAGCAUGUUAUUUAAUUCGAUAAUCCACGACUAACCUUACCAUAUUUUGAAUAUUAUAAUAAUUAUUAUAAUUAUUAUAUUACAGGCGUUACAUUGUUGUCUUUAGUUCGUGCUGCAAAGUUUUAGAUUAAGUUCAUAAACGAACAAAACUCCAUAUAUAUAAUUUUAAUUAUAUAUAAUUUUAUAUUAUUUAUUAAUAUAAAGAAAGGAAUUAAGACAAAUCAUAAUGAUCCUUAUAAUAUGGGUAAUAGACGUGCUAUAAUAAAAUGAUAAUAAAAUUAUAUAAAAUAUAUUUAAUUAUAUUUAAUUAAUAAUAUAAAACAUUUUAAUUUUUAAUAUAUUUUUUUAUUAUAUAUUAAUAUGAAUUAUAAUCUGAAAUUCGAUUAUAUGAAAAAAGAAUUGCUAGUAAUACGUAAAUUAGUAUGUUACGGUGAAUAUUCUAACUGUUUCGCACUAAUCACUCAUCACGCGUUGAAACAUAUUAUUAUCUUAUUAUUUAUAUAAUAUUUUUUAAUAAAUAUUAAUAAUUAUUAAUUUAUAUUUAUUUAUAUCAGAAAUAAUAUGAAUUAAUGCGAAGUUGAAAUACAGUUACCGUAGGGGAACCUGCGGUGGGCUUAUAAAUAUC